rnacentral:rRNA from 1 species
AACGAACGCUGGCGGCAUGCCUAACACAUGCAAGUCGAACGAGACCUUCGGGUCUAGUGGCGCACGGGUGCGUAACGCGUGGGAACCUGCCCUUAGGUUCGGAAUACCUCCCCGAAAGGGGUGCUAAUACCGGAUAAUGUCUUCGGACCACAGAUUUAUCGCCUUUGGAUGGGCCCGCGUUGGAUUAGCUAGUUGGUAGGGUAAAAGCCUACCACGGCGACGAUCCAUAGCUGGUCUGAGAGGAUGAGCAGCCACACUGGGACUGAGAAACGGCCCAGACUCCUACGGGAGGCAGCAGUGGGGAAUAUUGGACAAUGGGCGAAAGCCUGAUCCAGCAAUGCCGCGUGAGUGAUGAAGGCCGUAGGGUUGUAAAGCUCUUUUACCCGGGAUGAUAAUGACAGUACCGGGAGAAUAAGCACCGGCUAACUCCGUG